CCUACGGGCUGCACCAGUAGGGAAUCUUGCGCAAUGGGCGAAAGCCUGACGCAGCAACGCCGCGUGCGGGAUGAAGGCCUUCGGGUUGUAAACCGCUUUCAGCAGGGACGAAAUUGACGGUACCUGCAGAAGAAGCCCCGGCCAACUACGUGCCAGCAGCCGCGGUAACACGUAGGGGGCGAGCGUUGUCCGGACUUAUUGGGCGUAAAGAGCUCGUAGGCGGCUUCGUAAGUCGGGUGUGAAAACUCUAGGCUCAACCUGGAGACGCCACCCGAGACUGCGAUGACUAGAGUCCGGUAGGGGAGUGUGGAAUUCCUGGUGCAGCGGUGAAAUGCGCAGAUAUCAGGAGGAACACCAACGGCGAAGGCAGCACUCUGGGCCGGAACUGACGCUGAGGAGCGAAAGCGUGGGUAGCGAACAGGAUUAGAUACCCCCGUAGUC
rnacentral:rRNA from 1 species